rnacentral:rRNA from 1 species
AAAAGUGGUANCGACAGGUUUCCGUAGGUGACCUGCGGAAGGAUCAUUA